UACGUAGGGUGCGAGCGUUAGUCGGAAUUACUGGGCGUAAAGCGUGCGCAGGCGGUUUUGUAAGCCAGAUGUGAAAUCCCCGGGCUCAACCUGGGAAUGGCAUUUGGGACUGCAAGGCUUGAGUGCGGCAGAGGAGACUGGAAUUCCUGGUGUAGCAGUGAAAUGCGUAGAUAUCAGGAGGAAUACCGAUGGCGAAGGCAGGUCUCUGGGCUGACACUGACGCUCAUGCACGAAAGCGUGGGGAGCAAACAGG
rnacentral:rRNA from 1 species